UUCUAACGAUUUGUGUUUUUUUCCAGGUACAGGCGCUUGCAGAGGACGAGAUGGGCAGAUGAUUGCCCAGACGCUGCACUAGGACUCGCAGGCGGUGCUGCUGCUGACUGACGUGGAUUAACAGGUAAUGCUGUUGCAGAUGGACUUGCUGGACGAUACGGUGGAUUUGACGAUGGACAAGAUGCUGCAAAUGGCUGCUGACUGUCAGAUGGAUUGGACGAACAGGAAACUGGGCGAGACGAUGGACAUGAUGCACGACGAGAUGCUGGACAAAAUGCUGCUGAUGACUGCAAUUGGAUUUCAGGUGAGUUUUUAUGGGCUUUAGAUGAUUGUAACAGUUUCUCAUGCAUUGUUUCUCUUCUUUUUUCAUGCUGAUGCGACUUAUUUUGCUGAGAUGGAUGCUGAUUGGUGAUGAAUUUGGCCAGCUCGGCCUUAAAGUAUGCACAUCCCCUGUAUGUGGCUCGGUGGCCACCUCCGAUGCGGACCUCUUGGCUGCCCAGGACUUUAAUUUUAAGGAUGUCAUUGUGUUUGUUUUAAAGUUUUUGAGACAUCUGAUGUAUUUUGUAUUGAAUCCCAGCUCAUUUAGAUUUUUCUUAAUAGAGCUUCGGCAGGGGUAGAAUGGUGCAGGUUUAGAAUGGCAUACCUGGCACCACGCUCCCAUCUAGACUGUGAUCCGUGUGAGGCCAUUCUUCUAAGGAGGAUUUGACUAGCUGGCUGAUAGAGACGGACGGGAUUGCCCAGUUCUCUCAUCAGGAUUGGCAGCAGAUUAUUUUGAAAUUGAGGCAUAGGGAGAAAAAAUGCCGGCAAGGUAUUCUUCCUCCGUGCCACCAUUGCCCAGGUGCAUCUUUGUUGCAGCUGGGUGCGUUCUUUGGUAAUAAGAGGCUCAAAGUUAGGCUGCAGGUAAUUUUCCAUUUUUAGGGCUGGUAGAUGUGGGCAAUGGGCGUUUUUUUGGUGAUGAGAGGCUUCGUAACAUGAAGAGUCAAUAGGCAGGGUAGCAUAGGAGGCAUUUUGGGCUAUUUCUCCAGCAGCUCUGUCAUUAGAGGGGAGGGGCAUUGUGAGACAAAGGCGUCGUUGAGGUCAACCAAGGUAAAAGUCAUAUUUAACGGUGAGUCAUCAAGGCGGACUAGCAUAUUAUUGGCUACUAAUUGGGCAGGGGUGUCUGGCUCAAGUAGUAGCUGGCGUCUGGCAUUAGUGUUGUUGUUGUUGAUUGUUGUUGCAUAGCUGCUGAUGCAGAAGGUGCUCAUGGGAGUUUGGCGCUGGGCUUGGUGGACAUUUGCCUUGUUCCACUUUUCAGUAUUGCCCCAAUGAAAAGAAUUUCGGUGCA